GACGAACGCUGGCGGCGUGCUUAACACAUGCAAGUCGAACGGUGAAGCCCCAGCUUGCUGGAGUGGAUCAGUGGCGAACGGGUGAGUAACACGUGAGCAACCUGCCCCUGACUCUGGAAUAAGCGCUGGAAACGGCGUCUAAUACUGGAUACGAGAAGGGUCCGCAUGGGCACUUUCUGGAAAGUUUUUCGGUUGGGGAUGUGCUCGCGGCCUAUCAGCUUGUUGGUGGGGUAAUGGCUCACCAAGGCGACGACGGGUAGCCGGCCUGAGAGGGCGACCGGCCACACUGGGACUGAGCCGCGGCCCAGACUCCUACGGGAGGCAGCGGUGGGGAAUAUUGCACAAUGGGCGAAAGCCUGAUGCAGCGACGCCGCGUGGGGGAUGACGGCCUUCGGGUUGUAAACCUCUUUCAGCAGGGAAGAAGCGAAAGUGACGGUACCUGCAGAAGAAGCACCGGCUAACUACGUG
rnacentral:rRNA from 1 species